rnacentral:rRNA from 1 species
AGCGGCGGAUGGGUGAGUAACACGUGGGGAACCUGCCCCUAAGUCUGGGAUACCAUUUGGAAACAGGUGCUAAUACCGGAUAAUAAAGCAGAUCGCAUGAUCAGCUUUUGAAAGGCGGCGUAAGCUGUCGCUAAGGGAUGGCCCCGCGGUGCAUUAGCUAGUUGGUAAGGUAACGGCUUACCAAGGCGACGAUGCAUAGCCGAGUUGAGAGACUGAUCGGCCACAUUGGGACUGAGACACGGCCCAAACUCCUACGGGAGGCAGCAGUAGGGAAUCUUCCACAAUGGACGCAAGUCUGAUGGAGCAACGCCGCGUGAGUGAAGAAGGUUUUCGGAUCGUAAAGCUCUGUUGUUGGUGAAGAAGGAUAGAGGUAGUAACUGGCCUUUAUUUGAAGGUAAUCAACCAGAAAGUCACGGCUAACUACGUGCCAGCAGCCGCGGUAAUACGUAGGUGGCAAGCGUUGUCCGGAUUUAUUGGGCGUAAAGCGAGCGCAGGCGGAAAAAUAAGUCUAAUGUGAAAGCCCUCGGCUUAACCGAGGAACUGCAUCGGAAACUGUUUUUCUUGAGUGCAGAAGAGGAGAGUGGAACUCCAUGUGUAGCGGUGGAAUGCGUAGAUAUAUGGAUGAACACCAGUGGCGAAAGGCGGCUCUCUGGUCUGCAACUGACGCUGAGGCUCGAAAGCAUGGGUAGCGAACAGGAUUAGAUACCCUGGUAGUCCAUGCCGUAAACGAUGAGUGCUAAGUGU